CGAAUAAUUAUAAUGAUUCGGAUAAAAAUCUUAUAUAUUUUGAAUUACUUUGGAUAUUUCGGAUAAAACUAUCUGGAUACUUUCGAGUAGUUUUCUUCAAAUAUUUUCAUAAACUUUUAGUAUAAUUUUAAAUUUUAAAUAUAUAUAUAUUUAAUUAUGUAAUAUAUAUAUACAUAAUUUAUAUUUUAAGAUAUUCGGGUACUCGUUCGGGUUUCAGUUCAGUUUUGGUUCGGUUCAGUUGUUUCAGGUAUAGAAAUAUAAGAACCAUUCGAGUAUUGAGAGUUUUGCUCUGGUUCUUGUUUCAGGUAUUUCGAUCCGGUUCCAAUUUCGGGUAUUUCGGUUGGGUUCCGAUUGUUUUUCCCAAUCCUAUUUCAAACUUUCAUUAAGGUUGUCCAAUUGUACUCAUCAGUCUAAUCUUUCUAGAUAAACCAGAUGGUUAAUGUAGCUUAAUGAGAUUAUUACCUCCCUCUUUUUAAUUGGAAACGAAAAAAAGCACGAGGGAUUCUCCCAGUGGCCAAGGUUGCAGCUCCAAACAUGGCGUUGAAGGUACUGGACACAGCAGUGCAAGUCCAUGGAGCAGCUUGUUUAUCCUCGGACACAUUCUUGGCUCAUCUGUGGGCAACAACGGCUAGAACCCUCAGGAUUGCUGAUGGAGCUGACGAGGUUCAUCUUGGAACCAUUGGCAAAUUAGAAGUACAGAGAGCUUCAAAACUUUAACAUUAUUUUCUCAGAAAAAAGAAACAGAUGUUUUGUAUUCUACAUGCAGCAAAAUAAGCCUGAAACCUAAAUAAGUUUUAUACAAGAUCUUCUCAACUGUAUCUUGUUAAUACAAAAUGCAUUGUGAGACUCAUCUCAUGCCUCAUGGCAUCUGCUUCCUACUCUGUUAUAUCUAAAUCAAUCCUCAUUCAGUAUGAAAUAUUAGAAUCAUA